UACGAAGGGGGGCUAGCGUUGCUCGGAAUUACUGGGCGUAAAGCGCACGUAGGCGGAUUGUUAAGUCGGGGGUGAAAUCCUGGAGCUCAACUCCAGAACUGCCUUCGAUACUGGCGAUCUCGAGUUCGGGAGAGGUGAGUGGAACUGCGAGUGUAGAGGUGAAAUUCGUAGAUAUUCGCAAGAACACCAGUGGCGAAGGCGGCUCACUGGCCCGAUACUGACGCUGAGGUGCGAAAGCGUGGGGAGCAAACAGGG
rnacentral:rRNA from 1 species